ensembl:snRNA U6 U6 spliceosomal RNA
GUGCUUGCUUUAGGAGCACAUAUACUAAAAUGGGAAUGAUACAGAGAAGAUUAGUAUGGCCCCUGCACAAGGAUGACAUGCAAACUUGUGAAGCAGCCCAUAUUUUU